rnacentral:rRNA from 1 species
UUCCUGCGCAACGUUAAUCGACGCAGGGUUAGUCGGUUCCUAAGGCGAGGCUGAAAAGCGUAGUCGAUGGGAAACAGGUUAAUAUUCCUGUACUUCUGGUUACUGCGAUGGAGGGACGGAGAAGGCUAGGCCAGCUUGGCGUUGGUUGUCCAAGUUUAAGGUGGUAGGCUGAAAUCUUAGGUAAAUCCGGGGUUUCAAGGCCGAGAGCUGAUGACGAGUCGUCUUUUAGAUGACGAAGUGGUUGAUGCCAUGCUUCCAAGAAAAGCUUCUAAGCUUCAGGUAACCAGGAACCGUACCCCAAACCGACACAGGUGGUCGGGUAGAGAAUACCAAGGCGCUUGAGAGAACUCGGGUGAAGGAACUAGGCAAAAUGGCACCGUAACUUCGGGAGAAGGUGCGCCGGCUAGGGUGAAGGAUUUACUCCGUAAGCUCUGGCUGGUCGAAGAUACCAGGCCGCUGCGACUGUUUAUUAAAAACACAGCACUCUGCAAACACGAAAGUGGACGUAUAGGGUGUGACGCCUGCCCGGUGCCGGAAGGUUAAUUG